UGCGUUCAGGUAGCGGUCUUGUUAGCGUGUUGCGUCAAGUAAAACAGAAUGGGAGCACGAUCGGUCUUUUUCCCGUCUGAAAAUAAAUAUGGCUGGGUGAAACCAAAUACAAGAAGUUAUUUAAGAGUUAUUUACAAAGCCUCCAUUGCAAGACAUUGCAUUCAACAGAAAUGAUCGGCCAAGGUGAAGACUGGAGCUGAGGUAGAGAUGGCCUUGAGCUGACUGAAGGCAUGGCGGGUUACAAAUGAAGGAACUGUAGGGUGAGGUCGUCAGAGUGGGACAAUGAAGAACAGUCUCGACCCUGCUGGGAUCCAUGUGUAUCUCCCCUACGCGAAGACAAAGCCUCAGAAUGAUACGGAGGAAAACCGGCUGGUGGCAUCCUCCUCUCCCAGGUGUUGCCGUGGAGACAAACGACACCAGAUAAGGAGCGGAAAGUUACUAUCCCUGCCCAAGACCACACGGCGGGGGUAUGUGGAACGCCUGUGAGAAGAGCGACCCUCUAUGUGGAUGCAGACCUAACGACUUCCUCUGCUCAACCCCAAGCACCACCACCUCUCCGCAGCCAGUACACAAAACCAAGCAAAGACCUGGCUAUUCGGGAUCAAUUUUCAAGAUUUUCAAAUCAAAGCUGUUCAAAUGAAAUGUUCUGAAAAUUUUAAAAAAUUACAAAUUUGAAGAAGCCGAUUUAAAAACUGUGUCCGAUUCGUUAAACUGAAGCUAAAUUCUGUCCUGAUGGAAGAUGUUUUAUGUUACAAACUUCUGACGCAUCCUGAUUAACCAAUCAUGUUGCGUGACACAGAAAAGGAAUGCAUUAGUCUGGUCUGUUCAAUAGUCAUUUUCUCAACUUGUGUGAACCUCUGUAUAUAUGACUUUCAUGGUGAAAGCAAGGUGAUGUGGCAUACUGUGGAUUUGAACUCUCUAGCUCCUGAUGACAUUUUAUGGAAUGAAACAAUAUCAUAUUUAGCAUGUGCAUAUACAAAUGUUUAUUGUUUAACAUGUUGCUGUAUUAAGUCAGUCUUGACAAAACCGUCUUGAACACCACCUUCAGUGGUUUGUAAAAAAAUACCUUAGUUUUGAAACUUUUCCAGUGAUGUGAUAUUUAGGGAUGAUAUCACAAAUUCUUCAACCAUUUGGCUUACUCUAAUUAGAGUCAACUUGAAAAGCAAAUUUUGCACCAGAACAGCAAAAGACAUUUUAACGUCGAAACUGUCACAUAAUGCGAGCAAUGUCCAUCAAUUUUUAGU